GAUUUGGCGACCAGUCUUUACUCUGCGCAGUACGUGCGCGGCCCCGGCAGUACUCCUCCUCCUCCAAGGACUUCCGGCAGGAACCCGGAAGUCAGAAGAGCAGCCGGCAAGUGCAAAAGUUCUUCUUGCUGUGUAUUUUAUUUUUUUAAGACGAGUUGGUGAGGGGAGUGAACAGUAGCGCGAGAGCAGCGACGGUGAGAGGAACACGCUACGAAAGAAGACUGGUGAGAGAGGAACAUGGAGGGGGGAGGAAAGUUGAAAUCUGAGCAGUGAGAGGCACACAGGGGGGAGAAGGCUGCACUGACAGGGACGCUAAGGAAAGGAGCCGGUAGUAAGAGGAACAUGGAGAGGGAGGAAACGAAAAAGGCAGCAGUGAGAGGAACACAGAGGAGGGGGAGGAAAAAGCUGGGUGACGGAAAAAAAUGAGAGGAACACAGAGGGGGGAGGCUGCAAUUGAAAGGGGACGCUAAGGAAAGGAGACGCAGUGUGAGAGGAACAUGGAGGAAACAAGAAGGCUGGAUGAGGGAACGGCAGUGAGAGGAACAGGGGGGGAGAAUGCUGCACUGAAAGUGGACGCUCAGAAAAGAAAAGGCUGGGUGAGGGAAUGUCUGUGAGAGGAACAUGGAGGGGUAAAGCUACUUGAAAGGAGGCAAAGGCUGUGGUGACAGGAACACGGGGAAAGCUGCAUGGACAGACGCCGAGGGAACAUGCAGUGAGAGAGGAAGUGAUGUCAUGAAGACCCGGAAGAGGCACACAGCUAUGCGCACGUAGAGGAGAAGAAGGAAGAUGAAGCUAGAAGAUGGCGGAGACCCUUUGGAUGCCGUGGGACAGCUUCGGUUUGAUUUUUUUCGGCUGUCUUACUGAAACAGCAGGAAAGAGCAGUAUAUUGGGGCCAAAGAAAUUCAAAUUCAAAGCAGGUGGAAGCACAUUAGAGAUUGCUUUCGUAGGGAAGUGUCUGCCCAGAAGACAGAUACACAAAGUGGUGCAUCGCCAUCAAAAAGAAAGAAGUAUGUUUAUGCUGACGAAUUGAAAUUUGUACUACUUUCUUUUGCUAAGAGACAGAUGAAGAAAUAGAGACAGAGAAUCCAGAAACUGCUUCAUCAGACAAACCAACUACCAGCACUGUCACCCCACUUGGUACUUCUACCAGCACUGUUACCCCACCUGGCACUUCUACCAGCACUGUUACCCCACCUGGCACUUCUACCAGCACUGUCUCCCCACCUGCA